rnacentral:lncRNA from 1 species
UCUCCUCCAACAAUGGGGAUUACAUACAGUUUGACAUGAGAUUUGGGCAGGGACACAAAUCCAAACCAUAUCAGUCCUGCACUACCUUCCCUUCACCAUCACCCUCAAUUUGGUAUUUCCUUUCCUUUCCCAGGCUACUUUCUGUAUGGCCAUUAUCACAUUUGUCCCGUUGUAUUGUAAUUUUUUGUUUACAUCACUGUCUCCCUCUUUAAGCUUUGAGUUUCUUCAAGAUGGGCCCGUUACUUAUUUAAUCUAAGGAGCAAUGAGCCCUCUUUAAAUGUUUGUUGCUUACACAAAUGAUUGCCAUUUGUAGGGGGAAAUGAAGGCAGGAAAACCAGACAAAAUUGCAUAGGCAAGAAGCUGUGAGGAUCAGUGAAGUAGGAUAAUGGUCCUGGUGUUAGUUGAAUGGGGAUAAGUUUAAAGAGGAGCUGGGCAACUGAUUUGUUUUCAGAAGAGAGGGAGAGGUCAAGGAUAACACCUGGAUUUCUUAUUUAAAGUAAUAGAUAAUGGGGCCAUUGACCAAGAAAGCGACUACAGCAAGUCUGUAAGAAAGAUAGCCUUCAGUCUUGAUGCAUGAGACUUGAGGUGCCUAUGAUAACAUCCAAACGUGGUAUUCCAGUAGAUGGUUGAAAAUAUAGAUAGGGAAUUAAGUGGGGCAUCUCUCCUAGAAAUUUUGACAUUGGUAUAUGGGCAGCAAUUAAGACCAUGUUUAUGAAUGAGUGCGUGGUGAUAGGUGUGCCAAAUAUUUCCUGUUCUCUUACAGGAAUAUAGGAGGAUUGUAUGCCCUGGCCUCCCUGUGAUGGGGUUGAACUACAUGACAUGUUCUCCGAAUUAAGUGUGAGCAUAGCAUUUAAUUGUUGAUGCAAGACCUUCCAGAACUCUUUUUCUCUUUGCCAUGGCAAUCAUCAGUGUUCCAGAGAGCAUAUGCACGAUCAGCCUUGGUAUUGGAGGGAAGAUGAUGCGGAACAGAGUCCCAGUCACAUCAUGAAGGACAUGUAAAAUGCUGUAGAAGAACCUCUUCUGCAAGACCAUUCAUUCAUGCCUUGAGACAGUAUGAAUCAAGCUGACUUUUUUUUUUUCCAAGGAGUUUUUAAACUAUAUAUGUGACACCCCGAUGAAUAAGAAGAGCAGCCAGCUGAGAAGGGGAACUCUACAAAGCUAUUUUUUCAACAGCUGUGACUGACCCACUCACCUCACAGGGAACAGCUAUGCAGAGGAGGAAUGACAAGUAGAAGAGGGGAAAAGGGAAAAUAUAAACAAAAAAAACAGUACAUUUCACACAAAAGCAGAGGAACAGAAAGUGAAAUCUGAGACAGACCAUCAAGCUUCAGACCAUCAUGCAGCAAGGGCUCUAGCCAGUUCCAGGUGAAGACCCCACCCCGGGCCAUCAAGGAGCUUCCCUGCCUCCACUAGACAGAGCAGAGUGAGAGUUCCAUGAUCCCCAAUAGGUAGGGGCUAUGCCUCAAGCCAGCAUGAAGCAGUUACAGAAAAAAAGACCAUCAGUUCCUCUGCCUCCCAUGGGGAUCACAUCUUUCAGCAGGGAGAUGAGGCAUAAAAACAAGGUCUGGAGGCAGGGAAUUCAAGGCCGAUUCACACUUCAGCUAUGACAGGAAAUAUCCUCUCCAUAGGGUAUAGGCCAAGUAAAUGACUUUGUAACUUUACUCCUCAUUUUCAUAGGUUGCACCCCAAGUAAGCAAUGGAAUCCUCUAGAGGGUAUUUCCCCAAAAUUCUGUAAUGGGGUCCUUGAGCCCCUAUGCUCGGGCCCACUCCCACACUGUGGAGUGUACUUUCAUUUUC